rnacentral:lncRNA from 1 species
AGAAUCAUUCAUGAGAAAUGAAGAUACAGUGCCAGAAGAUAUUCCAGAAGUAGAAGACAAUGGGAAAGAAGACGGUGUUGAGCAGGGGGAGCCACAACCCGCUCUGCCAGAUGUUUCAGAACCAUCACAAGACUCAGAUGAUGGUGGAUCUCCUCAUAUUCCAUAAGUUCGUAGAUCUGAACGAGGUUGGAUUCCAUCGAGAAGAUAUACAGAAUCCGAAUAUCUUC